rnacentral:lncRNA from 1 species
CUGAAUUGCCCCUAACAUGCUCAAAAUUGAAAGCCGCUCCUGGAAAGAAUGGUUCAGCUUCUGACUAAUUGUUAGAUAGGAAUAAGGGUUAUGAUGGAUUCUGGUCGUGGAUUUCUAACUUCCCCUACUUAAAACUACGACAUAUUGGCAUUAUUCUUCUGUUAAUAAUCGGUUGUCGUAGAUCAUGCGAACUUGGAGAGGAGUGGCAAAGUUUGAUGAGCUGGGCGUUCCAUCUGUUUGACCUUGUGCACAAUCGACUG